ACAGCUUUAUUCUCAGUCCAUUGGAAAAUACAAAACAUAAAAUCUGUUCUUAUCAGCUUAAUAUCUGAUACGGGUUCAAAUGAUCCCCAGAAUAUUAAACUGAUUUUUGAAAUUCGGUGGGAAAUCAAUGCUUGCAUUAAUCCUGCCACGGGUUACCAUUUGCAUUGGUAGAAUAGUCUACCAUUG